rnacentral:tRNA from 1 species
UGGGCGGUAGCUCAGUGGUAGAGCCUUCACUGUAUAUGCGGGAAGACCUGAGUUCGAUUCCCGGCUGCUCAC